UUUGGGAGAUGAUGCGAAUACAUAAUUAUCAAAUGCAUCAGCAAUGCUGAGUUGUCUAUUUGCACGUCAGUCUGAUCGCAAC